AGCGCGCUGGGGGCGGGCGUGGGUCUUGGAGGACCCCGGCCCCGCCUCGGCUGCCGCUUUGCCAGCCCUCCAAGCCGCAGCGAGUUCUACCCACGGCGAAUCCGCCAAACAAAGCAUCGACUGCUGGACGAGGUCAAGGUUGCGAGUUACCGCCUCAAAUUUAUGCAAAAAAUAGCUAUAAGAGAAGCUGGGAAAGCUGGUCCAAGUACCUGACUUCUUACUUGUUCAUCUGGCAGGAAGCUAAGAUCCACAGAUGAGAAAUCACCGGACGUUUCUCUGACUUCAAGUUGUGAACUAAGUACAAUCUCUGAAUUGGAUGGAUUAGGGAAGCUGUUCAAUUACUAUUACCCAGCACCUGAGGGCAGCAGCUGAUGUAAAAACGUGUUCCAUUGCUCCAUGCAUUACCACCUGCUUUACACAAGGCACAGACCUGGGAUCUGGAUUUUGAGCCCUGCUUACAGAACAACUGAAUGAUCACAUGCAUCAUGUUGCAUCCUCUGAGUGACCAAGCUCCCUCAACUAACACACAAUAUCUGGCUGGAUCCUAUCGGACUGCUCUAUUAUUACAAGACCAGCAGAUGGCAGGGGUGACUUGUUCAAAGAACUUGCUUAGAAACAUGAAGUUAUUAUCUUGAAACAA